GAUGAACGCUGGCGGCGUGCCUAAUACAUGCAAGUAGAACGCUGAAGGAGGAGCUUGCUCUUCUGGAUGAGUUGCGAACGGGUGAGUAACGCGUAGGUAACCUGCCUGGUAGCGGGGGAUAACUAUUGGAAACGAUAGCUAAUACCGCAUGACAACAGUUAUUGCAUGAUAACUGUUUAAAAGGGGCAACUGCUCCACUACCAGAUGGACCUGCGUUGUAUUAGCUAGUUGGUGAGGUAACGGCUCACCAAGGCGACGAUACAUAGCCGACCUGGGAGGGUGAUCGGCCACCAUGGGACUGGGACCAGGCCCAGGCUCCUACGGGGGGCAGCAGUAGGGAAACUUCGGCAAUGGACGGAAGGCUGACCGGGCAACGCCGCGUGAGUGAAGAAGGGUUUCGGAUCGUAAAGCUCUGUUGUAAGGGAAGAACGAGUGUGAGAGUGGAAAGUUCACACUGUGACGGUAUCUUACCAGAAAGGGACGGCUAACUACGUG
rnacentral:rRNA from 1 species